AUGUACAUUCCUACAACAUAGUGUUAAUGCAUUAAAUCCCAUUAGAACUCCGCAGUCAAGCGCGCUCGGGUUAGAGUAGUAUUGGGAUGGGUGACUGCUUGGGAAGUCCUAGUAUUUUACAUG
rfam:Picea glauca, whole genome shotgun sequence.